UGAUGGAGUGAAAGGCCUAUAACUUACUGGUAAGUUAUAGGCUUUAUAGGCUUUUUAUAGGUAAGUUAUAGGCUUUUCACUCCUUCACUUAUAAGACG
rnacentral:miRNA from 1 species